GACGAACGCUGGCGGCGUGCCUAAUACAUGCAAGUAGAACGCUGAAGCUUGGUGCUUGCACCGAGCGGCUGAGUUGCGAACGGGUGAGUAACGCGUAGGUAACCUGCCUGGUAGCGGGGGAUAACUAUUGGAAACGAUAGCUAAUACCGCAUAACAGUAUAUAUCGCAUGAUAGCUACUUGAAAGGUGCAAAUGCACCACUACCAGAUGGACCUGCGUUGUAUUAGCUAGUUGGUGAGGUAACGGCUCACCAAGGCAACGAUACAUAGCCGACCUGAGAGGGUGAUCGGCCACACUGGGACUGAGACACGGCCCAGACUCCUACGGGAGGCAGCAGUAGGGAAUCUUCGGCAAUGGACGGAAGUCUGACCGAGCAACGCCGCGUGAGGGAAGAAGGUUGUCGGAUCGUAAAGCUCUGUUGUAAGAGAAGAACGAGUGUGAGAGUGGAAAGUUCACACUGUGACGGUAUCUGACCAGAAAGGGACGGCUAACUACGUG
rnacentral:rRNA from 1 species